AGAGGCAGGCAACCACGGUAGGGUCAGCGACUGGGGUGAAGUCGUAACAAGGUAGCCGUAGGGGAACCU
rnacentral:rRNA from 1 species